rnacentral:rRNA from 1 species
GUUGUGAUUUCAUUAAUCGCUUCGGAGCGCGGGCGGUCGCGGCCGUUAAAUCUUUCACAAGGUUGACCUCGGAUCAGGUAGGGAUACCCGCUGAACUUAAGCAUAUCAAUAAGCGGAGGAA